rnacentral:SRP_RNA from 1 species
GCUAGGCGCAGUGCGUGCCUGUAGUCCCAGCUACUCGGGAGGCUAAGGCUGGAGGAUCACUUCUUGAGCCCAGGAGUUCUGGGCUGUAGUGCACUAGGCCGAUCGGGUGUCCACACUAAGUUUGGCAUCAAUAUGGUGACUUCCUGGGUGCGGGGGACCACCGUUGCCUAAACAGGGGUGACCCGGCCCAGGUUGGAAAUAGAGCAGGUCAAAAAUCCCGUGCUGAUCAGUAGUGGGAUCGUACCUGUGAAUAGCCACUGCGCUCCAGCCUGGGCAACACAGUAAGACCUUAUUUCU